ensembl:lncRNA LINC02119 long intergenic non-protein coding RNA 2119
AUACAGACCUCCCAGGCCCUGGCGUGAAGGUGGCACUGUGACUAGCUCUUGCCGAUGGAAUGGGAGGAGUCAGUUAGAAAUUUUCAUAUGGUCAAAAUACCCAUGGAAUAUAUGAGUGGCAGCAGUAAACAAUCCUUGAAGUUCUUGCUUGUUUAACUUGACUGUUGGUGAUGCCCAAUGAGGCCCUGUCUGCUCCAAGCAAAUUACAUAAAAAAGAUGUGAAUAAAAACUCAUCAAAUACUAACAGAGCCUGUCUUGGAUGUUGAAGAUGAUUCAACCAGGAUGGCAAUAAUGUCAGAGAUCUCAGGCUGACCACUCAGUGGGACUCCCAGCACCCUCCACCCCCAGAAGGUUCAGGAGUACAUGUGAAGUCAACUCCUCACUUUUAAAUGCUGCAAAGUGAGCAAACAUUGACUAGUGUGGCCAGACAUAGACAAUGGUGUAUUUGUGAGUAACGACCAAAUUCAUACAAUCUACUGUAAAUAUAUUUUCGUCUGUGUAUAUACAUAUAUGUGUAUAUAUGAGAAUAUUAAUAUAAAUUACACAUGUAUGUAUGUUAAAUGCACUGCAAAAAAUACAUUCUCUCUCCAUAUUUGUAUGUAUGUACAUAUGACCACUCUCUGACCCCUAAAAAUGAGGCAGUUAAAGAAUAUUUGAUGACAAAGAGAAAUAUUAAAAUAUUAAGUUGAAAAAGUUUUGGAAACAAUAUCAUAUAGUAUAAUCCCAUUUUGGAAAAUUUAUAUGUAUACACAUAUAUAUAAAACAUGUGUAGAAAAAAUGAGGAUAUAUAACAGUAUGUGACCAGUGGUUAUGUCCAUGCGGUGGAAUUAUUGGUGAUUUGUUUUCUUUCUGCUUUUUUUUUUGCGUUUCUUCAAUAAACAUGUAUUAUUUUUAUAGUCAGAAAAAGAUCCCAUGACAAAUGUGAAUUAUUGGUGAUUUGUUUUCUUUCUGCUUUUUUUUUUUUGCAUUUCUUCAAUAAACAUGUAUUAUUUUUAUAGUCAGAAAAA